rnacentral:tRNA from 1 species
UGUAGCUGAGUUGGUAACGUGCUCGGAUUGCCAGUUCCGGUGGUUGUGGGUUCGAUUCCCACCA